CCUACGGGAGGCAGCAGUGAGGAAUAUUGGUCAAUGGGCGGGAGCCUGAACCAGCCAAGUCGCGUGAGGGAAGACGGUCCUACGGAUUGUAAACCUCUUUUGCCGGGGAGCAACGGGGUCCUUGCGAGGGCCCGAUGAGAGUACCCGGAGAAAAAGCAUCGGCUAACUCCGUGCCAGCAGCCGCGGUAAUACGGAGGAUGCGAGCGUUAUCCGGAUUUAUUGGGUUUAAAGGGUGCGUAGGCGGGCUGUUAAGUCAGCGGUCAAAUGUCGGGGCUCAACCCCGGCCUGCCGUUGAAACUGGCGGCCUCGAGUGGGCGAGAAGUAUGCGGAAUGCGUGGUGUAGCGGUGAAAUGCAUAGAUAUCACGCAGAACUCCGAUUGCGAAGGCAGCAUACCGGCGCCCGACUGACGCUGAGGCACGAAAGCGUGGGUAUCGAACAGGAUUAGAUACCCCAGUAGUC
rnacentral:rRNA from 1 species